GCGAGUCGAGAGGGUUCGGCCCUCGGCUGACGGCUCAGUAACACGUGGAUAAUUUGCCCUUAGGUGGAGGAUAACCUCGGGAAACUGAGAAUAAUACUCCAUAGGUCUAGGAGGCUGGAAUGCACUUAGACUGAAAGCUCCGGCGCCUAAGGAUGAGUCUGCGGACUAUCAGGUAGUAGUCAGGGUAAAGACCUGACUAGCCUACGACGGAUACGGGUUGUGAGAGCAAUAACCCGGAGACGAUAUCUGAGACACGAUAUCGGGCCCUACGGGGCGCAGCAGGCGCGAAAACUUCACACUGUGCGAAAGCACGAUGAGGGAAUCCCAAGUGCCAGCUCGUAAGAGUUGGCUGUUUCUCUGUCUAAAAAACAGAGAGAGUAAGGGCUGGGUAAGACGGGUGCCAGCCGCCGCGGUAAUACCUGCAGCUCAAGUGGUGGCCGUUAUUAUUGGGCCUAAAACGUCCGUAGCCGGUUUAGUAAAUGCCUGGGUAAAUCGCGUAGCUUAACUAUGCGAAUUCCGGGUAGACUGCUAGACUUGAGACCGGGAGAAGCUAGAGGUACUCCUGGGGUAGAGGUGAAAUUCUGUAAUCCUAGGGGGACCACCAGUGGCGAAGGCGUCUAGCUAGAACGGGUCUGACGGUGAGGGACGAAACCCUGGGGCGCAAACCGGAUUAGAUACCCGGGUAGUCCAGGGCGUAAACGCUGCUUGCUUGAUGUUAGUUGGGCUCCGAGCCCAAU
rnacentral:rRNA from 1 species